rnacentral:lncRNA from 1 species
UUUUUUUUCCAUAGCAGGUGAGGCCUACCUAGUACGCGUCACCGGCCACCGGCGUGUGUCAGGAACGCGAUCUCCAGCCCGAUCUCGUCGCAUGCAGGCCGGGCUCGCGAGCGCCCCCGGCCCCGCGGCAAGGCAACGGAAGCAAAGCUACUGACGCGACGCCUGGAGGCUGGAGGAGCGGCCGGCUGGCCGGCCAUUCUCAUCUCGUCGCGAGGCUAGCCUCUGGCCAGUUGGCUAACCGGCGCGGCGCGGCGGGGCGCUCUGUUAGGAGCGCACCGGCCUGACGGCCGGCCGGCGCACGCGGGUAAGAUAUUCCCCGAGCGAAUAAUUGGCAAUGCAUCCCGUCAUGGUCGUGCUACGCGAUCUGUCUCUUUUGCGGCUUUCCCCAUGGCUGUACUCGCUCCUUGCUUUGGGGCAGGAUGACACACAACUGUGGCUGGAGACGUGUUGUACGGAGCUCUGGUUGUGCGGCGGAUCGGAUGGCUCCCUAUGCACAGUCCGUCUGAUUGGAUUGCUGCUCCAUUGGUACAGUUGCACCCGCGGAGAUUUAAAGCAACGUUUGUUUGGUUGUUCGGUACAUAAAUGCAGACUCGUCUCGUGCAAAAUAUCACCCCCAGCCAGGCCCGUCCGAGACGGCCGCCAAGCACGUAGUGCAACGGCACGUAAAAGGAGGAGAGUUGUAGCUUGUUUAUUUUUUGCUAUAUCUCUUAAUUAGAAUAUUUAAUCACAGUACUGAUUUUAUAUUUGUGUUUCUGUUAUUUUUUAAACAAAACUAGACCACAUAUAUUGUAUAAUAUUUAAAGAUUUUUUGUACAAUCUUAUCUAAUACACGUUCUGAUACAGACAACCAAACACGAGCUAUAUUUGAUCUGAAUGUACUAAUACAAACAAUCAAACGCAAACAUGUGCAUGGAUCUAGGCUGUAUACAAAGAACAUGGCUCCUCACAUACGGACCAGGAUAUCACCGUGCAGCAACCAAACAGACCGAGUAUGCAGGCAGCCAG